rnacentral:misc_RNA from 1 species
ACCUCCUCACUUACCCUCCUCUGGUGUGUGUAAGUGGAGUUGUCGGCUUAUGAGCAAUCAUAUCUGAUCAAAUGGAUUAGGUUUGGAUCAGGCUGGUGGCCCGAGACACUGUGUGCUAGAGACUAGCAGUCUUGAUGACUGGUCCUGUCUUCUCACGGUGCGUCUCGGGUCAUUCAAAGCUGGCCUGCUAAGGACCUUAAUUGCGCAUAGCCCUUGUGGCUAUGGCAGCCCCCCCCUCU